GUGCUCGCUUCAGCAGCAUAUAUACUAAAAUUUGAACGACACAGAGAAGAUUAGCAUGGCCCUGCGCAAGGGAGCCACCCAGAUGCCCCAGAAAACUGAUACUUUUAU
ensembl:snRNA U6 U6 spliceosomal RNA